rnacentral:rRNA from 1 species
UACAGAGGUGGCAAGCGUUGUUCGGAAUUACUGGGCGUAAAGGGCGCGUAGGCGGAUCGCUAAGUCAGGGGUGAAAUCCCAGGGCUCAACCCUGGAACUGCCUUUGAUACUGACGGUCUGGAGAUCGGGAGAGGUUGGUGGAAUUCCGAGUGUAGAGGUGAAAUUCGUAGAUAUUCGGAGGAACACCAGAAGCGAAGGCGGCCAACUGGCCCGAUACUGACGCUGAGGCGCGAAAGCGUGGGGAGCAAACAGG